rnacentral:ncRNA from 1 species
AUAUAAAGGCAAACCUGUCGAAAGGCAGCGGCGCAAAGCGAAGAGCCUAAGGUGCUUGCACUAUGGUCGUCUGGCUGC